UACGUAGGUGGCAAGCGUUAUCCGGAUUUACUGGGUGUAAAGGGCGUGUAGGCGGGACUGCAAGUCAGACGUGAAAACCAUGGGCUCAACCUGUGGCCUGCAUUUGAAACUGUAGUUCUUGAGUACUGGAGAGGCAGACGGAAUUCCUAGUGUAGCGGUGAAAUGCGUAGAUAUUAGGAGGAACACCAGUGGCGAAGGCGGUCUGCUGGACAGCAACUGACGCUGAGGCGCGAAAGCGUGGGGAGCAAACAGG
rnacentral:rRNA from 1 species